CGCGUCUCUCACGUACCUCGCGGCAAGUUCCUCCGAAGCCCGUUACACGAAAUAAAUGAACAAUUCAAAUACACAAAUCGGAAGCAAUAAUAACAACAAACAGCAAACGAAAAACAAAGCACUCUCAAUAGCAAUAGAUAUAAGAAACUAAAAGAAUCACUUGCUAACGAAGAAGAACAACGAGCGCUGUGAGCACAAAAAAAAUUAGUACAAAAACGAAACGAAUGGCCGGACAGAAACAAAUAAGUGAGCGACCGAGCGAGCGAGCGAGCGAACGUGUAAAAACGUCCGCAUCCGAAAACACACUGGUAGCAGCUAGCGGCUCCAUGGCUGUUGUAGCGACGAACACUACUGGAUUGCUCUGCUUGCAUGCGACACCGUGGACGGCGACGUCGACGCCGACACAUCAAGGUACCCACCCCACCGAGCCGCAGACCAUCAGCAACAACGUUGCUACCGCCGUUUGAACAUCUCACAAAGUCGGGAAAUCUGUAUAGUGCGCCGCCGCCACUGCCCCUUGCGUGCUACCGCACCCACGGCUCCCACCGCACACUGUUGUGAACGCUGACUACCUUUCCGUACAGCUGCGCGUGCGCUUUAUCUCGAGCGAUGAACCGAACUGCGAACACUACAACUCCUCAAGGCCUACAUGGAUUUAGGCCAUAAAAAUGCCGAAGUGAUUCAAGCCAAUUCCAAGAGACUCCAACGGCGUAUAGCAACGCAACUAAACAUUUUCAUCUACAUACAGACAAAUAUACUAUAUAUACAUACAUAUAUGUAUAUGAAUUUGUUUAUACAUACAAUUGUAUAUACAUAUGUACGUACCUCUAAACGCACAUUCGUAUGUAUGUACAUAUGUAUCUCAAGCAAAGUUUCUUAACGCUCUGUUGGAGUUAGUAUUGGGAAACUAAAUUGCACUGUCUACAGCAACAACACAGGCGUUCGACAACGGCUAACACGGCAGCGGCAAUAACAUUGGCUUAAGAAACCAACAAGCCAACGGCAAGCCACUGGAAGUUCGGACUGCGCUCUCGGCCGACCCACAAGAGUCUGAAGUCAGCGAAGGGGAGCACCGUCAACGAGUGGCGGCAAACAUUCACUUGCGCUCUUUGUUUAGACUUGCAUGCACAUGCAUUAAUUCAUACAAAGUUAUCUAAAUACACAUACAAGUGUAUAAGCGUACGAUACAUAUAUACGUUUUAUCUACGUAUGGAUAUGUACGUAUAAACUUUAGCAUCAUUAAGCAUAGAAACCAAGGCUUGGAAAAAUAAAACAACUAAGCUCGCCUACU